CCUCCUUUCUUGGCAUGCAUGUGGUUCUUCAGUACUCAUGUGUGUAAUGUACGGAGGGAGAGGAGUGCCAGUGCUAUGUCUUCGGUACCAGUGUGUUCAUCGUCUGCUGGUUCUAUCCUCAAUCGCUGGGACACGC